rnacentral:rRNA from 1 species
GACGAACGCUGGCGGCGUGCUUAACACAUGCAAGUCGAACGGAAAGGCCCUGCUUUUGUGGGGUGCUCGAGUGGCGAACGGGUGAGUAACACGUGAGUAACCUGCCCUUGACUUUGUGAUAACUUCAGGAAACUGGGGCUAAUACCGGAUAGGAGCUCCUGCUGCAUGGGGGGGGUUGGAAAGUUUCGGCGGUUGUGGAUGGUCUCGAGGCUUAUGAGCUGGUUGGUGGGGUAGUGGCGUACCAAGGCUUUGACGGGUAGCCGGCAUGAGAGCGUGACCGGCGACCUGGGGCCUGCGGGACGCACCAGUCGCGAACCGGAGGCAGCAGUGGGGAACCUUGCGCAGUGGGCCGACGUCUGAUGUAGAAGUGCUGCGUGCGUGAUGCUGGCUUACGAGUUGUAAACAGCUUUGGCAUGUGACGAAGCGUGAGUGACGGUACUGAGUAAAGAAGCACCGGCUAACUACGUG